rnacentral:rRNA from 1 species
AACGAACGCUGGCGGCAUGCCUAACACAUGCAAGUCGAACGAAACCUUCGGGUCUAGUGGCGCACGGGUGCGUAACGCGUGGGAACCUGCCCUUAGGUUCGGAAUAACUCCCCGAAAGGGGUGCUAAUACCGGAUAAUGUCUUCGGACCAAAGAUUUAUCGCCUUUGGAUGGGCCCGCGUUGGAUUAGCUAGUUGGUAGGGUAAAAGCCUACCAAGGCGACGAUCCAUAGCUGGUCUGAGAGGAUGAUAAGCCACACUGGGAAUGAGACACGGCCCAGACUCCUACGGGAGGCAGCAGUGGGGAAUAUUGGACGAUGGGGGAAAGCCUGACAAAGCAAUGCCGGGCGAGUGAUGAAGGGGUUAGGGUUGUAAAGCUCUUUUACCCGGGAUGAUAAUGACAGUACCGGGAGAAUAAGCACCGGCUAACUACGUG